rnacentral:rRNA from 1 species
CCUACGGGAGACAGCAGUGGGGAAUAUUGGACAAUGGGGGGAACCCUGAUCCAGCGACGCCGCGUGAGUGAAGAAGUAUUUCGGUAUGUAAAGCUCUAUCAGCAGGGAAGAAAGAAAUGACGGUACCUGACUAAGAAGCCCCGGCUAACUACGUGCCAGCAGCCGCGGUAAUACGUAGGGGGCAAGCGUUAUCCGGAUUUACUGGGUGUAAAGGGAGCGUAGACGGCGAUGCAAGUCUGAAGUGAAAGGCGGGGGCCCAACCCCUGGACUGCUUUGGAAACUGUAUGGCUGGAGUGCAGGGGAGGUAAGUGGAAUUCCUAGUGUAGCGGUGAAAUGCGUAGAUAUUAGGAGGAACACCAGUGGCGAAGGCGGCUUGCUGGACUGUAAAUGACGCUGAGGCUCGAAAGCGUGGGGGGCAAACAGGAUUAGAUACCCCUGUAGUC